AUUCCCAAGGGAUCUUGUUAAAAUGCAAAUUCUGAUUCAGUAAGUCUUGGUGGUGUCUUCAGACUUUGCAUUUCUAACAAGCUCCCUGGUGAUGCCAA
rnacentral:pre_miRNA from 1 species